GAUGAAGAACGCAGCGAAAUGCGAUAAGUAGUGUGAAUUGCAGAAUUCAGUGAAUCAUCGAAUCUUUGAACGCACAUUGCGCCCCUUGGUAUCCCGAGGGGCAUGCCUGUUCGAGCGUCAUUUCACCACUCAAGCCUGGCUUGGUGUUGGGCGACGUCCUCUUUGGGGACGCGCCUCGAAACGCUCGGCGGCGUGGCACCGGCUUUAAGCGUAGCAGAAUCUUUCGCUUUGGAUGUCGGGGCCCCGUCUGCCGGAAGACCUGCUCGCAAGGUUGACCUCGGAUCAGGCAGGGAUACCCGCUGAACUUAAGCAUAUCAAUAAGCGGAGGA
rnacentral:misc_RNA from 1 species